rnacentral:lncRNA from 12 species
UUCUAGGAGCCCAACAAUGGCAAUGGAUGUAUAACAUCUAAAAAUCCUUCAGCCUGUGUCUCUUCUCUCUACCUAGAUGUCAUAGUACUGGUUUUCUUAUUUCACAAGAAAGAAUCAGUGUCAUUUAGACCCUCUUGAAUAACCUUCUGGCAGAGCAAGUUGAAGCAAAACCAAGAAGGUGGGUGAGAUUAUUCUGAAAGCUGCCAGAUGAGAGGAAAUAGAAACUAGGCUGAAGGAAGCUGUGUGCCUGGGAGCAUAACAUGUCUCCUACACAGCCUGACAAGUGUGAUUCCUGUUGGGUGUCUCCAGACAGCUGCCACCAAAGAAAAAAUCCUAGUUGUCCACAAACCAGAAAAAAAAAAACCAAAGCUUUGAGAGAAAGAGGAGAAUCACUCUGAAUGCUAGAAGAUCUGGGAUCUCUCAGCCUUUAGCACAUUUGGAGAUGGACUCCUGCAAAAAUCUCACUACUGGACUCCCUGCCCCAGAAUUGUACCUUUCAAUCCAGUCCUUCAGCUACAGCUUGAAGGUUAUUCAGAAUUUUUAAUUUAAUCAUUUCACACUGGGUGUUAUUCUAUAUGUUGGCAAAUUGAACCCCAAUAAAAAAUAAAUUUAUAAAAAACA